GACGAACCGUGCGAACGUUGUUCGGAUUCACUGGGCUUAAAGGGCGCGUAGGCGGACCCAAAAGUCCGGGGUGAAAUCUUUCGGCUUAACCGGAAAAUCGCCUUGGAUACUGUGGGUCUCGAGGGAGGUAGGGGCAUGCGGAACUUCCGGUGGAGCGGUGAAAUGCGUUGAUAUCGGAAGGAACUCCGGUGGCGAAAGCGGCGUGCUGGAUCUCUUCUGACGCUGAGGAGCGAAAGCGUGGGGAGCAAACAGG
rnacentral:rRNA from 1 species